UAUCCUAAGGAAGUAAUGGAAACCUUGAGUAUUUGUUGCUCUUCUUCUCUCACUUCCUCCUCUUCUUUUGCACCCCACUGUUUCCAGGUGUAGCUGAGGUGGGAUUUAAUACUUAGCUGAGUCCCACACCGUUCCCCUGUGGCUUCCUGGGCUGGAGUCAGGGUGUCGUGUCCCGCAAGAACACGCACAUCUGCUCCUGUGCACAAGCACCUCCCUUCUCCACAGCAGAAAUCAUCCCUCGCAAGCGGCAGGUGGUACUAGAUUGCCUUCCACCCGUAGGGCUGUAAUCCUGUCCUUCCGUCUGUCUGCCGGCCACCCUUGGGCAGACUGAGUAAUCCUGACACGGAUCCAUACGCUCUUCAGAAACCGUGGGACACCUACGACCAAGCUUGGACGCCCAGCACAAGCCCUGACAGGUUUUCCAUCUGGGUUUGCCUCACCUUAGGCGGGCCACUGGGUUGUGAGCCUGCAUCGCUCAGAUCUGGAGCGGGGGAAGGUUUCUCCGCCUGCCUCCCGCAGAGCACGGUGAGGACGAAAAUCUGCCUGGGAGGAUGGCCCCUGUCCCCAGGCACGAGCCCUUUCCUCCUGGCCGCUGGCCACAGGGACACAGCGGAGCAGAACGAGUCCGCGGUGGUGGCCGUGGAGCAUCGUACCUGCCGGGAGCGCUGCUUGCUCGAGUCCCGGCUUGCCGCUGCCUUCCCGGCGUGGGUAUUUCUGCCCUGGGCAGCAGGACUGAUCUCCAUCUGCUGAAGAUCUGCAUGCAGAACCCAGUGUGGAAGGUAAUGAAUGCAUCAGCCGGGUCCUAAGUUAAUUUUUGCCCGUGUCAGAAAAUUAAAGCACAAUUCAUAGAUUUCAAGGCCAGAAGGAACAAUUAUGACCAGCCAGGCUGACCUCUUGCAUUCCACAGGCCACUGCCUUGGCAGCAAACUCAUAACUUUUGUUCAAGCUGAGCCAUAUUUUUUUAGAAAGAUACUCGGUCUCCAUUAAAAGACUUCGAGUGAUGGAGAUUCCACUCUAUCCCUGGGGAUUCGUUCCAACGCUUAAUUGCUCUGACUGCUAAAAAUGUGCUUCUUAUUUCUAAUCUGGAUUUGUCUUGUUUCGGCUUCCAACCAGGGAUGUUGUAAUGCCUUUUCCUGCUAGAUUAAAGAGCCGUCUGCUAUCAGAAAUCUCUUCCCCAUGCAUAUGCUUGUAGACCGUGAGCAAGCCACCUCUUGGUCUCCUCAAUAAACUAAACAGCCGGAGCUUCUUUGCUCUGUCACUGUAAUGCAUAUUUUCCACUGCCUUGACUCACUCCCAGCUCUUUUCUGAACCCUUUCCAAGUUUUCCGACUCUGCCUGGAAAUGCAGACAAGAGCCCUGAACGCAGCGUCCCUGCGCUGGGCUCCCUCGUGCCAUGUGGCCAGGUAACAGCAUUUCUCUCUCCUCCUUUGCAUAAGCAGCCAACAACUACGCUCAUCCCCUCAGCUAGCGUGUCGUGCUGCUCAUGCUCUGCGUUCGUACCGCCGCUCGGCAGCGUGGCCUCCCAGGACGCGGGGGACAAGAGCUGAGCUCUGUCCUCUUGGCUCUGGUCUUCUCAAACGUGAGCAGCUCAGACCGGCUCCUCUGUGGAUGCACAUGUGCCUACCAGGUCUCUACACCCCUCCUUUAAUGCUCUCACUGUUUUUGCUUGUUGGCUCUUCCAGGGGAGGUCGGGACCUGCUGGACCACGCUGCCAGCUUCACGCCAGAGCACGAGCAAGGGGCAGGGCUACUCCAAGGCCUGGCUGGAUGGAGGGCUGCCCAACGGGGGAGAGGAGAGGGGACCCGGCCACCCGUUCCCCCCUCCUAGCUCUGUCCAGACCCUGCACUCCUUCUCCUAAUGCGCAAGCUUUGGUGAUGAAAUGAGGUGGGACUGACAAGGGACACGUGCAGCUCGGCGCGGUUCGGUCAGGGUGGCUGCGGGAAGGGGGGAGGCCUGGCUCUCGUCCAGCUCUUCGUUAAAGUCAGCGUGGUGGGAUUCGCCCGCUGGCUCGUUAGCGCUAGGAUUCCUGCAGCUCUUGGAGCUGGGAGAGCGGCUCCCUGCGAGAUUAAUCAUCUGUGACCCAUCAGGGCUGUGUUUUGGUCUCCUUGCUGAAGCCCAUCCUAUUCCCGUUCCCUACCCACAAGCGGAGCUCGGAUCGAAGCCGGCCAGAGGUCAGAAUUUCUCUUCCUUUCAGAACAAUGGAGCCAUGGACGGAGGCGGCCGCGGCAGAGCAGCGUGCUGAUGGCUGCCAGCUGUGUUGCCUUAACAUCUUCCCAUUAUCUCCGUGCUGCUGGCUAGCUCCGUCGUGGGGGGAGCUUUGUCCUGACUUUGGCAGAGGAAGGAGUCUCCCUCCCAGCGUGGAAAGCUGGCCCGGUGCUGGCUCGGUCUGUCCUGAACAUCUGCCGCUGGCUUGGAGCGAAGCGGGGCUGCACGCUGGCGCUCGGGGCUGCUCGGGAGCACCCGCAGCACC